rnacentral:rRNA from 1 species
GUACACGCUGUGACUAGCAUAUCAAUAAGCGGAGGAAAAGAAACUAACAAGGAUUCCCCUAGUAACGGCGAGUGAAGCGGGAAGAGCUCAAAUUUGAAAUCUUAAAGGGUUUCCCUUUACGAAUUGUAGUUUAAAGAAGUGUUUUCUGUUCGAGGUUUUGGUAAAAGUUCUUUGGAAUAGGACAUCAUAGAGGGUGAGAAUCCCGUAUUUGACCUUUACUUUCAACUUUGUGAUACACUUUCAAAGAGUCGGAUUGUUUGGGAAUGCAGUCCAAAAUGGGUGGUAAAUUUCAUCUAAAGCUAAAUAUUGGCGAGAGACCGAUAGCGAACAAGUACCGUGAGGGAAAGAUGAAAAGAACUUUGAAAAGAGAGUUAAACAGUACGUGAAAUUAGUCAAAAGGGAAGCGUUUGACACCAGUGUUGUUUUUCUGAAAAUCAAUUAAAGAACUGUUUAUGCUAAGUUGUUUAGACUUUAUCAGCUAACUGUUUAGUUUUGAGCUUUUCUUUAAUGCACUUUUCAGUUAACAAGUCAACAUCAAUUUCUUUUGCUGUAAAAAAGCUUGAGGAAGGUGGCUUGAGAUUCGUCUUAAGUGUUUAUAGCCUCUUGCCUAUGCAGUCGGAGAGAUUGAGGUCUGCAGCGUAGAUCCUUCGGGGCUAAAUGCAUUUGUGCUAAGUUAUAAGCAAUUUUAUAGACAACUUGUUGACUAUGAUUUGUCUUGUAGCUUACUCGCUUAUGUUAUUUUACCUACGCUUAGGAUGUUGACAGCAGUAUAGACUGUC